UAGUUUGCAUGAAUCUUGACUUAUUCCGUCGGAAUUUCAGCCCUAAAAAGCUAGAAAAUCGAAUCCGUUCGGUCCUGUUCUUAAUUUGUUAUGAGUGAGCAAAAAAUUCUGGAUACGGAGACCUGUUUUACAGGUACGCAAGAGGUGACUGAUUUUUCUCAAAUACUUUUGAAAUGUUUGUGGAGUGCAGUUUAGGGUUUAGGCGUCACUUUUAGGGAUUUUCUUAGAUAAUCGAAUAGGGAGUGUUGGGUUUGUUCUUACUCUUUGAUACUUGAAGGAUGGGUGAUGUUUUGAAUGCAUUUGUUUUAUGUUUUAAUUGCUCGAUUCCUAGUUCUAUUUCAUUCAUUUUUUUAGUGAACGAAGGUCGUUUUCGUUCAUAAAUUUUUUUUUUGGAUGAAGGUUAUACAAAAAUAUAAUGAUAGUUCUAAUGUGGAGAAGAACCCUUCAAAUCUCAAUGAAAAUGAAGAAGAUAAGAAAAUGGGAAGUGAUACUAUACUGAGUAAAGGUGAAGACGACGAAGAUUCCAAUGAAGACGAAGAAGAAGGAGAGUGUGGAUUCUGUGUUUUCAUGAAGGGAGGGGGUUGCAAAGAUUCAUUCAUUGCAUGGGAAAAGUGUGUGUAAGAAGCAGAAAAAAACAAGGAAGAUAUUGUGGAGAAAUGCUUUGAGGUGACAGGAAUCCUUAAGAAAUGCAUGGAUGAACAUGCUAGCUACUAUGAACCCAUCACACGAGCUGAGAAAGCCAUGGAGGAGGAAGCCCAAAGAGAACAUGAUGAGCAAUCCAAAUCUUGGGGUACACCGAUUCGAGUUGAAGAUGACAAAGGUCGAGAAGCUUCAACUGAUCCAUCUCCUGUUACAAAGAAUAUAGAGAAUUAACCAUGUAUGUGGAAAAUAAGUUUUUUUACUUUCUUCCAUUCCAGAUUUUUUAGACAGCUGAGAAAAACUCCCAUUUACAAGAUUUUUGAUUCCUUGGUAGUUAUCCAAGAAAUCCUGGUUUGCCUUUUGCUAGAUAAUUCAACUUUUUUAAUUGAAGCCUAUUUGAAAUCAUUUUAAAUAUUAAGUUCCAAAAUCCAAACCAAUCGAACCAUUUUUAAUUUGAAUCAAAAUGUGGAUAUCUGGAGGGACUAGGGAGGUAUAGUAAACCUUCUGUCUGCCUUUGAUUUCUCCAGAGUCCGAGUCGAUAAUAAAUUGUAACAAUUGUGAGAAACUGAAACCUUCCUCCGCUUGUAUACAAGCCCUACAUUGGGUCAUUGAAGUUUCGUGAUACAUAUUUUUGUUUCUAUGAUAAAUAAUGCUACAAUUUUCAUGAUUCAUAAGUCAUUGAAGUUUCAUAGCUAUCAAUUCCUGCUUAUGUAUUGUCAUUUUCUUAUUUCUUGAAUCAGUCUGUCCAUUGAAGAACAUGAUCUUAUAAUCUCCACAAGUCCACAACUGUUCUAAGAAAACUUUCUGAAAAUUGGUAUGCUUAAGAUUGUAGUUUUAGGGAGAAGAAUGAUGAUUUAUAAAGAUUAACUCUCUGGCUUAUAUUACAAGAUUCCAGUCCUUUUAAUAAGGAGAGAUUUUGGAAAUCCAAAUAAUCUAAUAAGUAAUAACUAAUAACCUAUAUCAUUGGAAAUCAUUUUAAUUAUUGAAAGUAUGAUAUUUCAAGUGUAUGGACUAUGGAGAAUGUUAAAUACUUAAGUUAGUCAUUUCUCAAUGUUGUGCAAGAUUUUUUUUUUGAAUUAAUCAAUGUUGUGCAAGAUGUGUACUGUUUUAGUCAUUCAUUUUUUAUAAGAAGUAUUUAUAAUAAAUUUUCGCUUAGAAAAAAAUAUAAAGAUCAAAAACCCAAUUCAGAUUGCAAGCUAUCUUCUUUGUAUAUUUUUCUUUCUAGAUGUUAUCAUACUAUAUUAUUCUUUGCAUCAUUUUUCAAUUUCCAUGUGAACUUAUUCGUCAUUUUAUUCUUUUUAGAAAUUAGUUUUGAGAUUUAUGUAUGAACAGUUGUAGACACU
rnacentral:lncRNA from 1 species